rnacentral:rRNA from 1 species
CCUACGGGAGGCAGCAGUGAGGAAUAUUGGUCAAUGGACGAGAGUCUGAACCAGCCAAGUAGCGUGAAGGAUGACUGCCCUAUGGGUUGUAAACUUCUUUUAUAUGGGAAUAAAAUGUUCCACGUGUGGGGUUUUGUAUGUACCCUAUGAAUAAGGAUCGGCUAACUCCGUGCCAGCAGCCGCGGUAAUACGGAGGAUCCGAGCGUUAUCCGGAUUUAUUGGGUUUAAAGGGAGCGUAGGUGGAUAGUUAAGUCAGUUGUGAAAGUUUGGGGCUCAACCGUAUAAUUGCAGUUGAAACUGGUAGUCUUGAGUACAGGAGAGGUAGGCGGAAUGCGUGGUGUAGCGGUGAAAUGCUUAGAUAUCACGAAGAACUCCGAUUGCGAAGGCAGCUUACUGGACUGCAACUGACACUGAGGCACGAAAGUGUGGGUAUCAAACAGGAUUAGAUACCCUUGUAGUC